rnacentral:rRNA from 1 species
AGUGAACGCUGGCGGUAGGCCUAACACAUGCAAGUCGAACGGCAGCACAGUAAGAGCUUGCUCUUACGGGUGGCGAGUGUCGGCCGGGUGAGGAAUACAUCGGAAUCUACUUUUUCGUGGGGGAUAACGUAGGGACACUUACGCUAAUACCGCAUACGACCUACGGGUGAAAGCAGGGGAUCUUCGGACCUUGCGCGAUUGAAUGAGCCGAUGUCGGAUUCGCUAGUUGGCGGGGUAAAGGCCCACCAAGGCGACGAUCCGUAGCUGGUCUGAGAGGAUGAUCAGCCACACUGGAACUGCGACACGGUCCAGACUCCUACGGGAGGCAGCAGUGGGGAAUAUUGGACAAUGGGCGCAAGCCUGAUCCAGCCAUACCGCGUGGGUGAAGAAGGCCUUCGGGUUGUAAAGCUCUUUUGUUGGGAAAGAAAAGCAGCAGGUUAAUACCCCGCUGUUCUGACGGUACCCAAAGAAUAAGCACCGGCUAACUUCGUG